rnacentral:rRNA from 1 species
GACGAACGCUGGCGGCGUGCUUAACACAUGCCAGUCGAACGGAAAGGCCCUGCUUUCAGGGUACUCGAGUGGCGAACGGGUGAGUAACACAUGGGUGAUCUGCCCUGCACUUCGGGAUAAGCCUGUUCAACUGGGUCUAAUACCGGCUAGGAGCCAUUUUUAGUGUGAUGGUUGGAAAGUUUUUUCGGUUUUUGAUGAGCUCGCGGCCUAUCUGCUUGUUGGUGGGGUAAUGGCCUACCAAGGCGGCGACGGGUGGCCGGACUGAGAGGGUGGACGGCCACACUGGGACUGAGAGAAGGCCCAGACUCCGACGGGAGGCAGAAGGGGGGAAUAUUGACCAAGGGGCGCCAGCCUGAUGCAGAGAGGCCGCGGGGGGGAGGACGGUCUUCGGGUUGAAAACUCCUUUCGCUAGGGACGAAGCUUUUUGUGACGGUACCUAGACAAGAAGCAACGGCUAACUACGUG